rnacentral:rRNA from 1 species
AGCGUAGACGGUGUGGCAAGUCUGAUGUGAAAGGCAUGGGCUCAACCUGUGGACUGCAUUGGAAACUGUCAUACUUGAGUGCCGGAGGAGUAAGCGGAAUUCCUAGUGUAGCGGUGAAAUGCGUAGAUAUUAGGAGGAACACCAGUGGCGAAGGCGGCUUACUGGACGGUAACUGACGUUGAGGCUCGAAAGCGUGGGAGCAAACA